rnacentral:rRNA from 1 species
CAGUAGUCACGAGUUUGAUCAUGGCUCAGAUUGAACGCUGGCGGCAUGCCUAACACAUGCAAGUCGAACGAGACCUUCGGGUCUAGUGGCGCACGGGUGCGUAACACGUGGGAAUUUGCCUCGGGGUAUGGAAUAACUCAGGGAAACUUGAGCUAAUACCAUAUAAUGUCUUCGGACCAAAGAUUUAUCGCCCUGAGAUAAGCCCGCGUAGGAUUAGCUAGUUGGUGGGGUAAAGGCUCACCAAGGCGACGAUCCUUAGCUGGUCUGAGAGGAUGAUCAGCCACACUGGGACUGAGACACGGCCCAGACUCCUACGGGAGGCAGCAGUGGGGAAUAUUGGGACAAUGGGCGAAAGCCUGAUCCAGCAAUGCCGCGUGAGUGAUGAAGGCCUUAGGGUUGUAAAGCUCUUUUACCCGAGAUGAUAAUGACAGUAUCGGGAGAAUAAGCUCCGGCUAACUCCGUG